CACAUCCCCCUUCCAUCCUCUUUCCCCAAUCCAGACUCCUUCCCCCAUCCAGCCUCCUUCCCCCAUCCAGCCGCCAUCCCCACCUUCAGAAUGGGCAGCAGAGGCCCUGGAGGCACUUGAUGGAGGUGAUCAAGUGGCAGAGGAUAAGUUUUACGUCCUGUUGACGCACCUUCCCAGGCCUGUUUUCAAAGUUUCGUCCUGUUGACGACCUGUUACCCCCUGUUUUUUCCUGUUGUUGGGUUGCCGCAAAUAUUGGACCCGUUUAUCCAACUCUACCAUGGGCGACCUACUUGUGAUGUGGACCUGAAACUCCGCCAUGUAGCAGACAACCCCCCUCAGGUCUUGCGGAGUAUCCUUCCCAAGUUGCGUGGAUGUGAAGGGACACGACAGUUCCCCUGAUGUACCAUGGGCGACCUACUUGUGAUGUGGACCUGAACCUCCGCCAUGUAGCAGACAACCCCCCUCAGGUCUUGCGGCGUAUCCUUCCCAAGUGGCGUGGAUGUGAAGAGACACGACAGUUCCCCUGAUGUACCAUGGCAUGGGCGACCUACUUGUGAUGUGGACCUGAACCUCCGACAUGUAGCAGACAACCCCCCUCAGGUCUUGCGGAGUAUCCUUCCCAAGUUGCUUGAAUCAUCAUGGAUGAAAAGGGACAUGACAGUUCUCCUGCUGUACCAUGGGCGACCUAACACAAUACCAUUGCAUCUCAUAUAUUACAUUUUAUUUACUAAUAAUUUAAAGAAAAACCACACAAAACUUCUCAUUUUAAAAAUUUAU